UGCGUAGGCGGCGUAAUAAGUCAGUGGUGAAAUCUCUCGGCUCAACCGGGAAACUGCCAUUGAUACUGUUAGUCUUGAGUUCGGUUGAGGUAGGCGGAAUGUGUAAUGUAGCGGUGAAAUGCUUAGAUAUUACACAGAACACCAAUUGCGUAGGCAGCUUACUAGACCGACACUGACGCUGAGGCACGAAAGCGUGGGUAGCGAACAGGAUUAGAUACCCUGGUAGUC
rnacentral:rRNA from 1 species